rnacentral:tRNA from 15 species
GGGUGGAGCAGCCUGGUAGCUCGUCGGGCUCAUAACCCGAAGGUCGUCGGUUCAAAUCCGGCCCCCGCAACCA